GUCUACUGUCAUGCCACCCUGAACAAGCCCGAUCCCAUCUGAACUCAGGAGCUAAGCAGGGUCGGGCCUGGUUAGCACUUGGAUGGGAAGACUACCUAGGAAAACCAGGUGCUGAAGGCG
rnacentral:rRNA from 1 species